rnacentral:piRNA from 1 species
UGACAGUAACGAAGAAAGCAAAGACAG